GAUCGCGGUGAUGAUUUCUAAAAUUCAAGCUCAACAGACCGGAUCGCAGGUCACUUCCUCUCAUUUGAUGAAGAGAUUUGCAUGCCGAGCGCCUGAUUGAUACCCUGAGCGAUC